rnacentral:rRNA from 1 species
CCCUUAGAUGUUCUGGGCCGCACGCGCGCUACACUGACGAAGUCAGCGAGCAUGUCCUACGCCGACAGGUGCGGGGAAUCUUGUCAAACUUCGUCGUGAUGGGGAUUGAUUUUUGAAAUUCUUGAUCAUAAACGAGGAAUUCCUAGUAAGCGCAAGUCAGCAGCUUGCGUUGAUUACGUCCCUGCCCUUUGUACACACCGCCCGUCGCUACUACCGAUUGAAUGGUUUAGUGAGAUCUUCGGAUUGGCGCCACUGCAGCUCAGCAAUGGGCUUGGUGGAUGCCGAAAAGUUGAUCAAACUUGAUCAUUUAGAGGAAGUAAAAGUCGGAACA